GGGUUUGAUUCUGGCUCAGAACGAACGCUGGCGGCAGGCCUAACACAUGCAAGUCGAGCGCUCUCUUCGGAGGGAGCGGCGGACGGGUGAGUAACGCGUGGGAACGUGCCCUUCUCUAUGGAAUAGCCACUGGAAACGGUGAGUAAUACCAUAUACGCCCUUCGGGGGAAAGAUUUAUCGGAGAAGGAUCGGCCCGCGUUAGAUUAGGUAGUUGGUGGGGUAAUGGCCUACCAAGCCUACGAUCUAUAGCUGGUUUUAGAGGAUGAUCAGCCACACUGGGACUGAGACACGGCCCAGACUCCUACGGGAGGCAGCAGUGGGGAAUCUUAGACAAUGGGCGCAAGCCUGAUCUAGCCAUGCCGCGUGAGUGAUGAAGGCCUUAGGGUCGUAAAGCUCUUUCGCCAGAGAUGAUAAUGACAGUAUCUGGUAAAGAAACCCCGGCUAACUCCGUGC
rnacentral:rRNA from 1 species